CCCUAGCCCCGGUUGCAAUGAAAAUCCUUUUUUGCAAAAAAGAUUGUAAUGGAAAGCGGGAAAAAGC
rnacentral:sRNA from 1 species